CAGGAGUACAGAUAGUAGACAAUGUUUUGGUACCUAUCCAUGCCUUUGUCAAAUUUCGGCAUGGAUAGGCAUGGAUAGGUGCUGAUACGUUGUCUACUUUCUGUACUCCUGAAUAAAAGACU